ensembl:snoRNA SNORA70 Small nucleolar RNA SNORA70
UUACAGCCAAUUAAGCUGACUGUGCUCUUUUCCCCAUGGGGGCCCAGUGUGCAAUGGCAGCAAACAGGAGCCUCCUUGGUAGUGUAUGCAACCUGUUGCCUGUAUGUGUUGCCCUAAGGGACCUUGGAAACAACU